UACGGAGGGUGCAAGCGUUGUCCGGAUUUAUUGGGUUUAAAGGGUGGCGUAGGCGGCUGAUUAAGUCUGGGGUGAAAGGCCCGUUGCUCAACAACGGAACUGCCCUGGAAACUGGUUAGCUUGAGUACAGACGAGGGUGGCGGAAUGGAUGCUGUAGCGGUGAAAUGCAUAGAUAGCAUCCAGAACCCCGAUUGCGAAGCAGCUGCCUAGACUGUAACUGACGCUGAGGCACGAAAGCGUGGGGAGCGAACAGG
rnacentral:rRNA from 1 species